UACGGAGGAUCCGAGCGUUAUCCGGAUUUAUUGGGUUUAAAGGGUGCGUAGGCGGGUUGAUAAGUCAGUGGUGAAAGGUUUGCGCUCAACGUAGACAUUGCCAUUGAAACUGUCAGUCUUGAGUACAAAUGAGGUAGGCGGAAUGUGUUGUGUAGCGGUGAAAUGCAUAGAUAUGACACAGAACACCAAUUGCGAAGGCAGCUUACUGGGAUGUAACUGACGCUGAGGCACGAAAGCGUGGGGAUCAAACAGGAUUAGAUACCCUGGUAGUCCACGCAGUAAACGAUGAUUACUAGCUGUUAGCGAUAGAAUGUUAGUGGCUAAGCGAAAGCGAUAAGUAAUCCACCUGGGGAGUACGACCGCAAGGUUGAAACUCAAAGGAAUUGACGGGGGCCCGCACAAGCGGAGGAACAUGUGGUUUAAUUCGAUGAUACGCGAGGAACCUUACCCGGGCUUGAAAUGCAGAGGAAUGACGAGGAAACUUGUCCGCCAGCAAUGGUCUCUGUGUAGGUGCUGCAUGGUUGUCGUCAGCUCGUGCCGUGAGGUGUCGGCUUAAGUGCCAUAACGAGCGCAACCCUUAUUGAUAGUUACUAACAGGUUAAGCUGAGGACUCUAUUGAGACUGCCACCGUAAGGUGAGAGGAAGGUGGGGAUGACGUCAAAUCAGCACGGCCCUUACGUCCGGGGCGACACACGUGUUACAAUGGGGGGUACAGAGGGGAGCUACUUAGCGAUAAGAUGCGAAUCUCGAAAGCCUCUCGUAGUUCGGAUCGGAGUCUGCAACUCGACUCCGUGAAGCUGGAUUCGCUAGUAAUCGCGCAUCAGCCAUGGCGCGGUGAAUACGUUCCCGGGCCU
rnacentral:rRNA from 1 species